GGGGCAUAGCUCAGUGGUAGAGCACAUGCUUAGCAUGUGCAAGGCCCUGGGUUCAAUCCCCAGCACCA
rnacentral:tRNA from 1 species